GACGAACGCUGGCGGCGUGCCUAAUACAUGCAAGUCGAACGCAGUGGGGACGGGUGAGUAACACGUGGGUAACCUCCCAUCAGAGGGGAUAACACUUGGAAACAGGUGCUAAACCGAUACUGAUGGAUGGACCCGCGGGGCAUUAGCUAGUUGGUGGGGUAACGGCUCACCAAGGCCACGAUGCAUAGCCGGCCUGAGAGGGUGAUCAGCCACACUGGGACUGAGACACGGCCCAGACUCCUACGGGAGGCAGCAGUAGGGAAGCUUCUGCAAUGGGCGAAAGUCUGACCGAGCAACGCCGCGUGCAUGAAGAAGGUUUUCGGAUCGUAAAACUCUGUUGUUAGGGAAGCGUUAUCUAACCAGAAAGCCACGGCUAACUACGUGCCAGCAGCCGCGGUAAUUC
rnacentral:rRNA from 1 species